rnacentral:rRNA from 1 species
CAGUCGCCACGGUAAUACAGAGGGUGCAAGCGUUAAUCGGAAUUACUGGGCGUAAAGUGCGCGUAGGUGGUUUGUUAAGUUGGAUGUGAAAUCCCCGGGCUCAACCUGGGAACUGCAUCCAAAACUGGCAAGCUAGAGUAUGGUAGAGGGUGGUGGAAUUUCCUGUGUAGCGGUGAAAUGCGUAGAUAUAGGAAGGAACACCAGUGGCGAAGGCGACCACCUGGACUGAUACUGACACUGAGGUGCGAAAGCGUGGGGAGCAAACAGGAUUAGAUACCCCCGUAGUCCCUGUCUCUUAUAC